AUGCGGUGCGGCUCGGACGCGCGUCGCUCAGGCCGACGUACAGUGCGACCAUCGCCGUCACGGCUUCGUUCCAUCCGAAAUCGCACG
rnacentral:tRNA from 1 species